CCGCCUCGGGGGCGGGGUCACGCUGACGCUCCUUGGUCGUCUUCAGUCCCUAAUGUGACUCCGGGACCUAUAGGCGGAACCCCAGAGUAUGAUUCAUCAAUAUGAUUCGAAGAACUGCAAGCCUGAGUGCUGCAUUAUUUUCAAUGGAAAAAUGGAAACAACCGUGAAUGGUUCACUUUAAGGUCAACACCACAGAAGUGCAGCUGGUCUUUCUAGGACAUCUUUCCAGACUACUUCUGGGACCAAGUUUCCUGGAAACCCACCUUGCUCCACAGUGAAGGAAUUAGAGGAAGAUAAAUUGACCUCACCUGAGUUGAAUAUUUGCCAGGAUUAAGCUGGAUGGAUGGAAGAAGAUGGAGUGAGAGAGCACAAGCAGGGGGAGCGGCAGGCAGAGGGAGAAGCAGG